UUUAUGUAAGAAAUACUUUUUGUAUAUAAUUUAGAGAAAAGGUAUACAAUUGUGCAAAGCUGUAUAGCCUUAUCUAUUGUAACGAGUAUGAGCUGUGAUUGUGGCUAUGCGCCAACUAGUUGUUUGUACAUUUUUGCUUUCGUUAAUGGCAUGCUCAGGGCAUGUCCAAGAAACGUCUAGAAGAAACAAAAACACGGAUGGAAACUUAAAGAAAUUACAAUCAUAUCAACUCAUUACCGGUCCUAAGCUUAUUUCGCGUACAUUUACAACACGUUCACUCUAUACUUUUAACAAAAGUAAUCUGAUUUCCCACAAGGUUAGUAGCACACGCAAUUUUUCUACUCUCAAAACUCGAACGCUCGAGUAUCCCGUUCUAUUUAAUUCUCGGACACUCAACCUUCAUAAGCUCAAUAAUCAUACUACCCAUUCCCCAACACUCAGGAAUCGGACACUCAAUUCUUCAACACUUAACACUCGAACACUCAAUUAUAAUAUGGUCAAUCCUUAUAUACCUGAAACGCUCAACUCUGCUAAGCUUGAAAAUAAAAAUCGCGACAAUUUAGUUUACGAUAAAAUUCUUCAAGAAUGG